AUUAUCAAGAGUGGACGAGAGAACCGGCUCAAUGACUCCACAGCAACCUAUUUAAAUACAAGGUGCUAAUACCGGCAAAGCAAAUUGCUUUGGCUGAUGA
rnacentral:ncRNA from 1 species